rnacentral:rRNA from 2 species
UACGUGCCAGCAGCCGCGGUAAUACGUAGGUGGCAAGCGUUGUCCGGAUUUAUUGGGCGUAAAGCGAGCGCAGGCGGUUUUUUAAGUCUGAUGUGAAAGCCUUCGGCUCAACCGAAGAAGUGCAUCGGAAACUGGGAAACUUGAGUGCAGAAGAGGACAGUGGAACUCCAUGUGUAGCGGUGAAAUGCGUAGAUAUAUGGAAGAACACCAGUGGCGAAGGCGGCUGUCUGGUCUGUAACUGACGCUGAGGCUCGAAAGUAUGGGUAGCAAACAGGAUUAGAUACCCUGGUAGUCCAUACCGUAAACGAUGAAUGCUAAGUGUUGGAGGGUUUCCGCCCUUCAGUGCUGCAGCUAACGCAUUAAGCAUUCCGCCUGGGGAGUACGGCCGCAAGGCUGAAACUCAAAGGAAUUGACGGGGGCCCGCACAAGCGGUGGAGCAUGUGGUUUAAUUCGAAGCUACGCGAAGAACCUUACCAGGUCUUGACAUACUAUGCAAAUCUAAGAGAUUAGACGUUCCCUUCGGGGACAUGGAUACAGGUGGUGCAUGGUUGUCGUCAGCUCGUGUCGUGAGAUGUUGGGUUAAGUCCCGCAACGAGCGCAACCCUUAUUAUCAGUUGCCAGCAUUAAGUUGGGCACUCUGGUGAGACUGCCGGUGACAAACCGGAGGAAGGUGGGGAUGACGUCAAAUCAUCAUGCCCCUUAUGACCUGGGCUACACACGUGCUACAAUGGAUGGUACAACGAGUUGCGAACUCGCGAGAGUAAGCUAAUCUCUUAAAGCCAUUCUCAGUUCGGAUUGUAGGCUGCAACUCGCCUACAUGAAGUCGGAAUCGCUAGUAAUCGCGGAUCAGCAUGCCGCGGUGAAUACGUUCCCGGGCCUUGUACACACCGCCCGUCACACCAUGAGAGUUUGUAACACCCCAAAGUCGGUGGGGUAACCUUUUAG